GAUGAAGAACGUAGCGAAAUGCGAUAAGUAAUGUGAAUUGCAGAAUUCAGUGAAUCAUCGAAUCUUUGAACGCACAUUGCGCCCGCCAGUAUUCUGGCGGGCAUGCCUGUUCGAGCGUCAUUACAACCCUCAGGCCCCCGGGCCUGGCGUUGGGGAUCGGCGGAAGCCCCCUGCGGGCACAACGCCGUCCCCCAAAUACAGUGGCGGUCCCGCCGCAGCUUCCAUUGCGUAGUAGCUAACACCUCGCAACUGGAGAGCGGCGCGGCCACGCCGUAAAACACCCAACUUCUGAAUGUUGACCUCGAAUCAGGUAGGAAUACCCGCUGAACUUAAGCAUAUCAUAAGCGAGA
rnacentral:misc_RNA from 1 species